rnacentral:misc_RNA from 1 species
GGUGGGAGCGGGCUUGCCUGCGAUGCAAGCACCUCGGUUUAUCAGGUACACCGAGGUGAUGCUAUCGCAGGCAAGCCAGCUCCCACA